AGUUUUGCGCAUGCGGAUUAGGCGGCCGCAAAUUUGAAACAGGAAGUUACUUAUGCCAUAGAUUUGCAGUUACGGUUUGUACUAGAGGGAAGUUUCUGCGAGCUGUAUGUUUCUAGGUAGGUUGUAGAUGUUCACACACAACUAAUAGUAUUUUUCAGCAGGGAACGAGACAGUGUUUUAGUUUUGAGCAGACGCGCAAUUUUUGGUGGCCUGCGAGUUUUCGCAAACGACUUCGUAUGAUGAUUGUGACCCUAUGCCAUGUCUCUAACUUUUCUUAUAUUGGCGUUACUGUACGCGCAACUGUUGCAGAGGAAAUCGAUACAAACGAUGGCGAGGAUCAACUUUGGAUUGUUCUCCGUUCAUCGUCUUACAUAUCAGGAGCAAAAACUAUCAAGUGAAAUGUUAGUGUUUCUUUUUCCUGCAUGGAGGUCGGAGAAUCACGAGUUCGAACGUUCUGGGACAGUGGACAAGUUGUCUUUUAUUCUUGCGUGAAUUGAUUCGAGGCCAUGCAUGUUCACCAUGGAAUCCCAGACCAAGUCUCAACUUCCGAAUCCAAGGCAAUGUGUGUUUCUCCAAGAUGUGCAUCUUUGGAAUGAUUUUGACAGAUGGCAAGCUCUGGCGGUAGAAGAUGAGAAAUUGGAGUCAGAAUCUAGAUACAGAAUGAUAUUUUUGCCACUGGCAGCACUCUCAUUGAAGCAUCGAAUGGACAUCUAACACAUAUUGCAGCUGUGGGAUGGAUUUGGAAGGAAUCCUUUAUCAAAUCAUUCCAAACAAGCUUUUCAGUUCAACUUGAAGUCCUCUGAAAGGAAUCGAUGAUCAGUUCUGUUGAAAAUUUUGGUGAGGCAUUCGACAUGACAAUCCAUUGCAAAACAAACUGUUUGAACCAAACUGUUUGAUGACUGUUGUGCAUGUCAUUUAUACUAUAGUAGCAGGGAAGUUUUCUUUCGUCAUCUGUGUGCCCUGUUUGAAUUGUCAUCUGUGUGAACUUUUGUGUAGGGAAUUUUGGGUGUUUUGGGUAGGGAAUUUAUAAACGCUUUUUUUCGUAAAUUUGAUUGCACAUACUACAUAAUGCAGAUCAGUGUAAACGCUUUCUCGGGUAUUUUUCGUUGUGCUA